UCAGGACGAACGCUGGCGGCGUGCUUAACACAUGCAAGUCGAACGGAAAGGCCCCUUUUUGGGGUACUCGAGUGGCGAACGGGUGAGUAACACGUGGGUGAUCUGCCCUCAACUUCGGGAUAAGCUUGGGAAACUGGGUCUAAUACCGGAUAGGACUCCUCUUUAGUGUGAGGGGUGGAAAGUUUUUUCGGUUGGGGAUGAGCUCGCGGCCUAUCAGCUUGUUGGUGGGGUAAUGGCCUACCAAGGCGUCGACGGGUAGCCGGCCUGAGAGGGUGUACGGCCACAUUGGGACUGAGAUACGGCCCAGACUCCUACGGGAGGCAGCAGUGGGGAAUAUUGCACAAUGGGCGCAAGCCUGAUGCAGCGACGCCGCGUGGGGGAUGAAGGCCUUCGGGUUGUAAACUCCUUUCGCUACCGACGAAGCCUCUUGGGGUGACGGUAGGUGGAGAAGAAGCACCGGCUA
rnacentral:rRNA from 1 species